AAAUAGAUACCCUGUAGUCCACGCCGUAAACGAUGAGUGCUAAGUGUUAGGGGUUUCCGCCCCUUAGUGCUGCGAGCUAACGCAUUAAGCACUCCGCCUGGGGAGUACGGUCGCAAGACUGAAACUCAAAGGAAUUGACGGGGGCCCGCACAAGCGGUGGAGCAUGUGGUUUAAUUCGAAGCAACGCGAAGAACCUUACCAGGUCUUGACAUCCCACUGACCGCUAUGGAGACAUAGUUUUCCUUUCGGGGACAGUGGUGACAGGUGGUGCAUGGUUGUCGUCAGCUCGUGUCGUGAGAUGUUGGGUUAAGUCCCGCAACGAGCGCAACCCUUGAUCUUAGUUGCCAUCAUUUAGUUGGGCACUCUAAGGUGACUGCCGGUGACAAACCGGAGGAAGGUGGGGAUGACGUCAAAUCAUCAUGCCCCUUAUGACCUGGGCUACACACGUGCUACAAUGGACGGUACAAACGGUUGCCAACCCGCGAGGGGAGCUAAUCCGAUAAAACCGUUCUCAGUUCGGAUUGUAGGCUGCAACUCGCCUAC
rnacentral:rRNA from 1 species